GCGGGGAUAGAGCAACGGCGGCUCCGCGGUCUCAUAAGCCGCGCCGGCAGCGGGUUCGACUCCCGCCCCCGCG
rnacentral:tRNA from 1 species